ACGGCUUAACUGUGAGCGUGCGGGCGAUACGGGCAGACUUGAGUACUGCAGGGGAGACUGGAAUUCCUGGUGUAGCGGUGGAAUGCGCAGAUAUCAGGAGGAACACCGGUGGCGAAGGCGGGUCUCUGGGCAGUAACUGACGCUGAGGAGCGAAAGCGUGGGGAGCGAACAGGAUUAGAUACCCUGGUAGUCCACGCCGUAAACGGUGGGUACUAGGUGUGGGUUUCCUUCCUUGGGAUCCGUGCCGUAGCUAACGCAUUAAGUACCCCGCCUGGGGAGUACGGCCGCAAGGCUAAGACUCAGAGAAAUUGACGGGGGCCCGCACAAGCGGCGGAGCAUGUGGAUUAAUUCGAUGCAACGCGAAGAACCUUACCUGGGUUUGACAUGCACAGGACGCCGGCAGAGAUGUCGGUUCCCUUGUGGCCUGUGUGCAGGUGGUGCAUGGCUGUCGUCAGCUCGUGUCGUGAGAUGUUGGGUUAAGUCCCGCAACGAGCGCAACCCUUGUCUCAUGUUGCCAGCGGGUAAUGCCUGGGGAUCUCGUGAGAGAUCUGUCCGGGGUCAAUCUCGGAGGAAGGUGGGGAUGACGUCAAGUCAUCAUGCCCCUUAUGUCCAGGGCUUCACACAUGCUACAAUGGCCGGUACAAAGGGCUGCGAUGCCGCGAGGUUAAGCGAAUCCUUUUAAAGCCGGUCUCAGUUCGGAUCGGGGUCUGCAACUCGACCCCGUGAAGUCGGAGUCGCUAGU
rnacentral:rRNA from 1 species